GUCCGGUUGACGAGUCCCAAAUUGUGCGAAACGCACGUCCUGGAU
rnacentral:hammerhead_ribozyme from 1 species